AUCUUAAUCUUACAAUUCCAUGGAAAAACCUGUAUACUCAACCAGUUGAAGCUUUCCUGGGAGACAUUUAUUUACUCAUAGUGCCUUCUUCUAAAAUAAAAUACGAUCCUGUAAAAGAAGAAAAGCAACUCUUGGAAGCAAAGCAACUUGAACUUAAACGAAUAGAAGAAGCAAAACAAAAAGUAGCUGAUCAAG